AACCCAAAGGACUUGGCGGUGCUUAAUAACCCCCUAGAGGAGCCUGUUCUAGAACCGAUAACCCUCGUUAAACCUCACCCCUUUUUGUCUAUUCCGCCUAUAUACCGCCGUCGUCAGCUUACCCUGUGAAGGACUUAUAGUAAGCACAAUUAGUUUAAACCCAAAACGUCAGGUCGAGGUGUAGCAAAUGAAGGGGGAAGAAAUGGGCUACAUUUCCUGUAAUCAGGAUACACCGGAAAGUGCUCUGAAAAAGGCACUAAAAGGAGGAUUUAGUAGUAAGUGAAGAUCAGACUGCCCCACUGAAACCGGCCCUUAAGCGCGCA
rnacentral:rRNA from 1 species